GAUGAACGCUAGCGACAGGCUUAACACAUGCAAGUCGAGGGGCAGCACAGGUAGCAAUACCGGGUGGCGACCGGCGCACGGGUGAGUAACGCGUAUGCAACUUACCUAUCAGAGGGGGAUAACCCGGCGAAAGUCGGACUAAUACCGCAUGAAGCAGGGGUCCCGCAUGGGGAUAUUUGCUAAAGAUUCAUCGCUGAUAGAUAGGCAUGCGUUCCAUUAGGCAGUUGGCGGGGUAACGGCCCACCAAACCGACGAUGGAUAGGGGUUCUGAGAGGAAGGUCCCCCACAUUGGUACUGAGACACGGACCAAACUCCUACGGGAGGCAGCAGUGAGGAAUAUUGGUCAAUGGCCGAGAGGCUGAACCAGCCAAGUCGCGUGAGGGAUGAAGGUUCUAUGGAUCGUAAACCUCUUUUAUAAGGGAAUAAAGUGCGGGACGUGUCCCGUUUUGUAUGUACCUUAUGAAUAAGGAUCGGCUAACUCCGUG
rnacentral:rRNA from 1 species